rnacentral:tRNA from 1 species
UUUUUGAAAGCAAAGUGCAUUAGACUGUAAAUCUAAAAUUGGUAAAAACCUCAAAAAA